rnacentral:lncRNA from 1 species
ACACACACACAAACACACACACACACACCCCAAAUAUUACCCUAUUACUCCACUCAGUAUUUACAAAACUGCAAACCCUGAGUGACAAGAAGUCCUGCAAUGAUGUGAUUUUAUGUAAUAAAUGCACCUGUCAACAUAUAUUGUUAGAGAAAUUGGUUUUGCACUUACUUUCUUAAUUUUUUAAGAUUAUACAUCCAGUCAGGAAGCCUCUACCUACUUUACAACAUAACAAAAUCAAGGAAAAUAUAUUUUUCAUCCACCCAGCAUCCAUGGCUGUGAAGUUUCCCACGUACUAACCUUGAUUACUAACUCAUUUAAAAUACAAACUCUUGGAUUUUCCAUAUUUUGGCCCAUAGGGACUCACCAGGUAUUUUAGAACUUCUCAAAAGAAAGUGCCGCUCUGUGUAUUUCUUUGUGUUUUCUAAUUUGGGCAGUAUUUUUGUUUUCUGUAUUGUUAGUUUUAUGAAGUUCAAACCUACUGGAGUUAAAAGAUUUUGUAUUAUUCCUAUCAAACCUUUUGUUGUAAUUCAUGAUUUGUAGAAACAAAAGAACCCAAAUUGAUGGAUUCCAAAUGAAUAUUAUGAUUAUUGUGAUUAUUAUGCCUGUGGCAGUAGGGUUGGCAUUUUCUGUGUUCCUGACUAUGGAGAUUUACUCCCUUAUACCAGCCUGCUCUGUGAGAGCCAGUGUCACUGGAUCACCAUGACGGAACAACUUUGGAAGCAAAGCAACAUGGCCGUUUCCACAUCCUCUUGUUCUUACAUUACUAAAGGCAGAAGGUGGGCUCUGCUUUAAAUCUAGACGUUUAAUGUACAAAGAGAGAGUGGCUUUCCACUACUCAGCUGCCACUGUCACAGAUUAAACUUGUCUGUCUCUGUUUCCUUGUC